rnacentral:rRNA from 1 species
GAUGAACGCUGGCGGCAUGCCUAAUACAUGCAAGUCGAGCGAACGGACGGGAAGCUUGCUUCUCUGAUGUUAGCGGCGGACGGGUGAGUAACACGUGGAUAACCUACCUAUAUGACUGGGAUAACUUCGGGAAACCGGAGCUAAUACCGGAUAAUAUUUUCAACCGCAUGGUUCAAAAGUUAAAGACGGUCUUGCUGUCACUUAUAGAUGGAUCCGCGCUGCAUUAGCUAGUUGGUAAGGUAACGGCUUACCAAGGCAACGAUGCAUAGCCGACCUGAGAGGGUGAUCGGCCACACUGGAACUGAGACACGGUCCAGACUCCUACGGGAGGCAGCAGUAGGGAAUCUUGCGCAAUGGGCGAAAGCCUGACGGAGCCACGCCGCGUGAGUGAUGAAGGUCUUCGGAUCGUAAAACUCUGUUAUUAGGGAAGAACAUAUGCGUAAGUAACUGUGCACAUCUUGACGGUACCUAAUCAGAAAGCCACGGCUAACUACGUG